rnacentral:rRNA from 1 species
UACGUAGGGUGCAAGCGUUGUCCGGAAUUAUUGGGCGUAAAGGGCGCGUAGGCGGCCAUUCAAGUGACGGGUGAAAGCCCUCGGCUUAACCGAGGAACUGCCUGUCAGACUGGAUGGCUUGAGACCGGGAGAGGUGAGUGGAAUUCCCAGUGUAGCGGUGAAAUGCGUAGAUAUUGGGAGGAACACCAGCGGCGAAGGCGGCUCACUGGACCGGAACUGACGCUGAGGCGCGAAAGCGUGGGGAGCAAACAGG